CUGGAAAAGAAGCGGGCGGGAUGCCUUCCUCUAUCAUGCGUCGAUCGGCAGCACGGACUUCGGUCUGGUGGCGAGUGGCUGAACGGGUGAGUAAUGUAUCGGAACGUGCCCAGUAGCGGGGGAUAACUACGCGAAAGCGUAGCUAAUACCGCAUACGCCCUACGGGGGAAAGCAGGGGAUCUUCGGACCUUGCACUAUUGGAGCGGCCGAUAUCGGAUUAGCUAGUUGGUGGGGUAACGGCCUACCAAGGCGACGAUCCGUAGCUGGUUUGAGAGGACGACCAGCCACACUGGGACUGAGACACGGCCCAGACUCCUACGGGAGGCAGCAGUGGGGAAUUUUGGACAAUGGGGGAAACCCUGAUCCAGCCAUCCCGCGUGUGCGAUGAAGGCCUUCGGGUUGUAAAGCACUUUUGGCAGGAAAGAAACGUCGCGGGCUAAUACCUCGCGAAACUGACGGUACCUGCAGAAUAAGCACCGGCUAACUACGUGCCAGCAGCCGCGGUAAUACGUAGGGGUGCAAGCGUUAAUCGGAAUUACUGGGCGUAAAGCGUGCGCAGGCGGUUCGGAAAGAAAGAUGUGAAAUCCCAGAGCUUAACUUUGGAACUGCAUUUUUAACUACCGGGCUAGAGUGUGUCAGAGGGAGGUGAAUUUCCGCGUGUAGCAGUGAAAUGCGAGAUAUGAGACCACACCGAUGGCGAAGCAGCCUCCUGGGAUAACACUGACGCUCAUGCACGAAGCGUGGGGAGCAACAGGAUUAGAUACCCUGGUAGUCACGC
rnacentral:rRNA from 1 species